UCGUUAUACUGCGCCGGUCAUUGGGGAGUAGCCUCCUUUAGGGUUUGCAUCAACAGACUUGACCCUCACGGUCAUGGUGCAAACAGUGAUUCGUCAUUAAAACGGAUACACCUGGCAAGACCUUUGACCAUACCCUGUGCGGCCGGACAGGUGUGUGGUCAAUGGAAGUUUUCCGGCCAUGGAGUAUC
rnacentral:sRNA from 18 species